GAUAGAAGUUCCUGAUGUCCUGCCUUCCUGAAACCAAAGGAUGGACUUCCAAAACUUGGAAUCCCAAGCAAAAGAGAUAAAGAUGGAAAAACAGUUGGAGUGUGUUCAUUUCAAGGUGCAUCAAGGUGCUGGGGACUGUCACAGAACAGACAAAGCAGAAGACAAGACUCUUGUCCUUGGAGAGAUUCCUGACCAUGUCUCCAGAACAUUUCUCAGGAUCCCACCAGCUGGACAGACUUGAUAAGACCUUAUUCUUCAGAUGAAAAAAAAACACAAACUUGUGGCAAGAAUCAGUGACUUCAAAUCAUACAGCCCUUCAUCAUCCUCACCCAGACACUGAAGCUGCAGGAUGCAGUGAGUAAGAGCAAAGACUCCCUUAAACUCUGCUCUGGCCGCUUGUAAUCUGUAUGACGAGGGUAUAUAACACAAGUUAACUGUUUUCUAAGAGCAAAUGCCCCAGAUGUGUUGUGAUUAGGCUAUGGUUUCUAAAAAAAUUGACUUGGUUACCAGCUUUUAAAAGUGUAUAGAUUUCUUGUGAAGUCUGGUUCUAAUUUUCUGUGAAAGAGUCCUCUGCACCCCUUCCUGCAGACAGAGAGUGACGUCGGCACCAUUUACGGGGGGAAUUCACCUGGGCUAGAUAAUCCUGGAAGCCCCUUUCCCCUCUGGGCUUUUACUGUUUCUUUUUAAAUAGAUUUCCUGCCUCCUAGGUCCUGUCGUGUCUGCUGGUGCCAGCCCAGCGGUGGGAA